rnacentral:misc_RNA from 1 species
GCCUGGAUCUGGGUGUUAAAAGUUCUAGGGUUUUCAAGGAACUUCUUGCUUGUUUUAAGCUUGGAAGCUGUUUGAUUUACUGGGAAAGACAAGAAAGUGAAUUGGGCUUUGCUCUUUUUAAUUAUUUUAUUUGGGCUAUUUGUUGAAUUGGAUGUCGAGACUGUGAAUUGGGGAUUUUGUUUCCAUCGAUUUCAAAUAUAUAGGGUUUAUAUUUUGAAUAUUUAUUUAUGAGGUAUGGGGGAGUGCUACUGGUACACGUUGUAAUUUGGAUACACAGUUAGAAGGAUUUAAAUAUAAAUCAAAAUAGUUUCUCAAAUAUCUAGUAAAAAUAUCAUUACAUCGACACUUCUCCUUGAGAGUUUUCCCACAUAUUCUAAGUUUCCACCUUGUCUCCUCAAAUUGCUUUUAGAAAGUGUUUUGGUUAGAAUAUUUGCUAGUUGCGUUAAAUUAAUUUCAUCAUUCUUCUCAACUUUCCUCGGAAAUUGAUACUUCACUUUGAUACGUUCAUGGUCCUCCUGUUGAAUGGGAUUGCUAGCUAUAGUAAUUGUAGACUUGCUAUCACAUCAAAUUACAGUAGAAUCAACUUGUUUAAUUUCCAAAUCAACCAGCAAUUUUCAAAUAAAAGAUGAAUUGAGUUGUAGUAGCAACGACAAUUGUUAUAUACUCAACUUUAGCAGGAGAUUGUACCACCACAACUUGCUUUCUUGAAUUCCAUGAUAUAGGAUUUGAUCCCAUGGAAAAUAUGAAACAAGAUAUAGUCAUAUCCAAAUAGCCUGAUCAAUCAUUGUCUAUAAAUUGUCUUCGAUCUUAACUUCCUUCUUUCUAAAUACAAGAAUAAGAAUAGUCCUAAUCACGAAUUAGUUUGGGUUGACAAUAUGAAUUCUUUUUUUAUCAUUAAACUCUAUUAGACAUCAUGUCUACAUUCAUAGCCAAAACUUGUGAAUCAUUUGAUACUAUUUCUCUCCACGUCAUCUAAGGUCUCUCUUCCACUGUCUCCCUCUUUUACCUACCAACCUAUCAAAAAGUUCAUAUUUCCUUUUUUUAAAAAUACCAAACACUAUUUUCUAUAGAACCUCUAUGGUAUCUUAAUAUUAUUUUAGUAGGGUUGGAGGAGAGAG